GAUGUACGCUGGCGGCGUGCCUAAUACAUGCAAGUCGAGCGAACAGACGAGGAGCUUGCUCCUCUGACGUUAGCGGCGGACGGGUGAGUAACACGUGGAUAACCUACCUAUAAGACUGGGAUAACUUCGGGAAACCGGAGCUAAUACCGGAUAAUAUAUUGAACCGCAUGGUUCAAUAGUGGAAGACGGUUUUGCUGUCACUUAUAGAUGGAUCCGCGCCGCAUUAGCUAGUUGGUAAGGUAACGGCUUACCAAGGCAACGAUGCGUAGCCGACCUGAGAGGGUGAUCGGCCACACUGGAACUGAGACACGGUCCAGACUCCUACGGGAGGCAGCAGUAGGGAAUCUUCCGCAAUGGGCGAAAGCCUGACGGAGCAACGCCGCGUGAGUGAUGAAGGUCUUCGGAUCGUAAAACUCUGUUAUUAGGGAAGAACAAAUGUGUAAGUAACUAUGCACGUCUUGACGGUACCUAAUCAGAAAGCCACGGCUAACUACGUG
rnacentral:rRNA from 1 species